rnacentral:rRNA from 1 species
GACGAACGCUGGCGGCGUGCUUAACACAUGCAAGUCGAACGGAAAGGCCCUGCUCUUGUGGGGUGCUCGAGUGGCGAACGGGUGAGUAACACGUGAGUAACCUGCCCUUGACUUUGGGAUAACUUCAGGAAACUGGGGCUAAUACCGGAUAGGAGCUCCUGCUGCAUGGUGGGGGUUGGAAAGUUUCGGCGGUUGGGGAUGGACUCGCGGCUUAUCAGCUUGUUGGUGGGGUAGUGGAUUACCAAGGCUUUGACGGGUAGCCGGCCUGAGAGGGUGGCCGGCCACCUUGGGACUGCGAUACGGCCCAGUCUCCUACCGGAGGCAGCAGUGGGGAAUAUUGCACAAUGGGCGGAAGCCUGAUGCAGCAACGCCGCGUGCGUGAUGACGGCCUUCGGGUUGUAAACCGCUUUCGCCUGUGACGAAGCGUGAGUGACGGUAAUGGGUAAAGAAGCACCGGCUAACUACGUG